AGGACUGGGCUCCAGGACGCAACAAAAGCCGGGUGCACAGCAGCCUGCAUGGCACCAAAGCUGAAGCCCUGAGCUGCUCUGCGGUGCUACCCUUUGUCCCUCCAGACUCUCUUUUCCUUUAUCUGUUUGUCAGUAAACUGAAGCCACCACAGUUUGUCAUUUGGAUGAUUAUUGCCAGAUGGAGAAGCUGCAGCUCCAGAGUCUUGACAGCCUCACAGCUUCCAAGGCAGUGGCCCCGCGGGGUGCAAGCCCCACCUUCCUGCAGUUGCAGAGCCAGCUAAGAGGUGGGCAGCACGCCAGGCCCCGUCAGCAGCCCCUGGAGCACACACCAAGUGCAGAUGCUCAGGAGGCUCGGGGGAAGGAACGGGGUUUUCACCAGAACACCACAGGCAGGGCCUCCCAGCAAAGGCCUCCAGAUGCUGUGAAAACCUACGGCUUGUCCUCCUCCCGGCUUCCCAGGUUACCCAGCCACAACACACCGAUGCUGGGUCUGGGACAGCUCCACUGGAACCUGAGAUGACCUGAGGGUGUCCCAGUGAUAUAACAUAUGAGGAAAGCAGAAACAACUAAGAAAUAGACUCUGAAUGUGGCAGAUUCUAGAACUGAAAGGUGGGAGAGGAGCAGAUCUUCACUUUCCACACCUCAAGGUGCUCAGCCAAUCACCCGUUCAUGCCUGAGACUGUGAAUCCAAUAGGACAGUACAAGGACAUGGAGAUGGUCAGAGCUGAUGUAUGAUGGUGGCAGCAGAGCUGAGAAUCCAGCGGAGAGGCAGCAAGCAUCCCAGGGAUCCCAUGAUUAAGAACCAGCUUCUGUGGUUUAGAAGCAAGGCACCAACUGGUAUGAGAAGCACAGACAGAUGGUGCCCUGGGAACACUGGCUGUCACGUGCUGGAGGAGGUUCCUCAGCAAGUCACCUUCCCUCUAUGGACCUCUGUUGGAAAGACGGCAUAAAGAUCAUUCCAGCUAUGAUUCCUGAGCUUUUAAUAUAUUCUUUCUGAUGAUUAAGAAAUAUAUCUAUCGAGCAUGGCAGCUCACACCUGUAAUCCCAGCACUUUGGGAGGCUGAGAAGGGCGGAUCCCGAGGUCAGGAGUUCAAGACCAGCCUGACCAACAUGGUGAAACCCCGUCUCUACUAAAAAUACAAAAAUUAGCUGGGUGUCGUGGCGUGCACCUGUAAUUCCAGCUACUCAGGAGGCU